rnacentral:rRNA from 1 species
AACGAACGCUGGCGGCAUGCCUAACACAUGCAAGUCGAACGAGAACUUCGGGUCUUGUUGCGCUCGGGUGCGUACGGCCUGGUGACCUACCCUUAGGUUACCAAUAACUCCCCGAAAGGGGUCCUAAUACCGCAUAAUCUCUUCCGACCAAAGAUUUAUCGCCUUUGGAUGGGCGCGCGUUGGAUUCGCUAGUUGGUAGGGUAAAAGCCUAUCAAGGCGACGAUCCAGAGCUGGUCUGAGAGGAUGAUCAGCCACACUGGGACUGCGACACGGCCCAGACGGCGACGGGGGGCAGCAGUGGGGAAUAUUAGACAAGGGGCGAAAGCCUAGUCCAGCAGUGCGGCGUGAGUGGUGAAGGCGGUAGGGUUGUAAAGCUCUUUGACACGGGACGAGAGUGACAGUACCGGGAGAAUAAGCACCGGCUAACUCCGU